rnacentral:misc_RNA from 1 species
AAUGUGUAACAAUCAAUUUUAAUUGACGUUAGAUUCAUUUAUGAAGUUAGAAUAUCUGUCCGAGUAAAUUUGAAUUCAAUUAGUUUGAUUUCAGAUACUCACUGGAUUCAAACUUCCCAUGAUAAAACCUAUUUGUCCAGUCGGAUAAGUCGGAACUGCAACAACACAAUACGAAGUUUUUGCAAACGCAGAUCUGCAAUGUUGCAACGUUCGUUCAACGAUGUCCAAAUUUGCCCAAGCUGUCCCACCUUGGCUACAUAUUAUUCCUCCAGAUCUCAGAGCUGUGCUCAUUAAUUUAAACCCCACGGCCAUGAAGGGCAAAUAUUUUCUGGCAGCCGAAAGAACAGACUCGUCGAUUUCUACUUGGGUUAUACUUUUUACAUUUGGAUGCUUGGCCACCUCACGUGCUACGCCGCCGUCACCCCCAC